UACAGAGGUCUCAAGCGUUGUUCGGAUUCAUUGGGCGUAAAGGGUGCGUAGGUGGCGCCAUAAGUCAGGUGUGAAAUCUCGGGGCUCAACUCCGAAACUGCACUUGAUACUGUGGUGCUCGAGUACUGGAGAGGAGAUUGGAAUUUACGGUGUAGCAGUGAAAUGCGUAGAUAUUAGGAAGAACACCAGUGGCGAAGGCGGCUCACUGGCCCGGUACUGACGCUGAGGCGCGAAAGCGUGGGGAGCAAACAGG
rnacentral:rRNA from 1 species